UAACAGAUAUCCGGGUCCUCUGGGAAAUUAGGGUUUUCCUAGUUUCCUUAUUUAAACGGAAAUCGACAGUGUGAAUUUCGGUUCCCACAAUUAUGUACGGAAAUAUUUGUUGUGACCAUUUUAGAACCCAUCAGUAUGGAAGCACAGAGAGACGAUACUGAAUUGUAGGUCCGUGGAGGCGCAUGUCGAUGCACGAUCCGGGCAUGCUGGUUUUUAUAGGCAGCCAAAUAUGUUUGUGACCAUCGAUUAUUUAUCCUUUGUGGCUAUAAUCAGUUUGAUGCAUGGUAGUGAAUAGGACCGCUUGACAAUGCAGUGGUCCGGGUGUUUUGGUUUUUAGAGGCUGCUGAAUAUGUGCAUGACCAUCGGUUAUUUAGCCUUUGUGGCUAUGAUAUUUUGGGUGCAUGGAUUAAAUGGGAUGGGACAAUGUCAAAUGGGUGUGUAGAGGCCUAGAGGUGGAAGUCAUGGAAGUAUAGUAUAUGCAUGUAGUAUAUUAAGUAUGCAUUAGUAUCAUGGUUGUUGCAUAUCUUGAUGAUGUCUUGCGUAAUAAUUGUUAUUUUUGGGUUUUUGGGGAAUCGAUUAUGCGGGUACUGGGAAGCCAAACUCACUAAGCAAACUACUUUCUCAUAACUCUACUUGUUUUACAUGUAACCAUUAGUGGGAAACUAUACAGGCUAAUUAAGUUUAAGAAAAUCUUGUGUAGUGUUGUGCCUUUUUACAAAUGUGAAUAUAUAUGUAUUGUCAUGUUUUGAGUGUUGAUCUCCCUGUGGGAUCUAUAUGUAUCUUUGGUUACAUGUGAAACCUAAGUAUUAUAUGAAUAAAUCAUAUUUGUAAAAUACUUGGGCUUUGUAUGAUAUUUGGUCUUGGUAUGGUACAAACUAAUUAUUGGAUGUAUCUCGGUUGAAAAGCCUUGAGUUAUGUUUAGACGUUUGAAUUGGGGUCUCGAGAUUCAUCUUGGAAACCUCGGAAUAUUGAAUGUUUGUGUACACAUUGUGGCAUCUUCGGUUUGGAUUGGGUUCAAAGUGCUUGGCUGUGCAUGUUCUUGUUUUAUUGUUGCAUGGAUGAUCAAGUAAAUUUAGACUUGGACCGGAUCAAGGAGUUACAACUACCCUCAAACUAAGAUCAAAUACAACCCUAGAUCUUCUUCCUACUUAUCCGGCGUUUGGUGACUAGCGCCGGUACCAGAGCCCGUUUACUUCCUCAUUCAUCUUUGUUUUUGCCCUUCUUGCUCCUCCUUUUGUCAAGUCGAUAUAUCACUUUCUCAUUGGUUGGUUAUGUGAAAGAUUCAAUCUCAGCCAACCACAUAUCUGGUGAUAAUAUGAGGCUUGGAGAUGUGGGUUGCAAAGAGAGACUGGAUGUUGUUGUGGCAAAUAUUGUCUCCUUGGACUUACUUUUGGAGAAGGCAUGUGUUGCUGGAAAUGGAUGGUAUCUCUGGAUAUAGUCGAAGAGCUCAAAUUGGUGAAAUCUUAGAAGUCCACAUGCGGAAGUUUGAACAUAUUGUGGUGAUAUGGGAUUGGUAUCUCAUGAUGAUUUGUUGGUAUAAAGAUUCAAUCUCAGCCAACCACAAAUCUGGUGAAAAGAUGAGGCUUGGAGAUGUAUGUUGCAAGGAGGGCCUGGAUAUUGUUGUGGCAAAGAUUUUUCCCUUGGACUUACUUUUGGAAAAGGCAUGUGUUUCUGGGAAAGAAUGGUAUCCCUGGAUCUAGUCGAAGAGCUCAAGUUGGUGAAAUCUUAGAGGUCCACAUGCAUGCGGCAGUGUGAACAUAUGGUGGUGAGUAACGUUCAUCAGAGUUCCACCAUUGCUCCACCUCUUCCCUCUCUUUUAGAGAAGACAUUUGUCUUUUUUCCUUAGAUGAUGAUAUGGGAUUGGUAUCUCAUGAUGAUAUGUCUCUGUAAAGAUUUUCUGUGGGGAGUACGGCUGUUCCUUCUUUUGUCUACAGCGAAUCCCUCAAAGAGCUCCGGCCCUUUGGUUCUCAAAGACAAAGUGAGUAUUAGAGAGUCUGAAGGCUCCGGUAUAUCUCGAUGGAGCAUAAAUUUCCAGCACUGGCAGUUGGUCGUCUAUGAUCAAAGUCGGUGGUUCCCUUAUACCUUUUGUUGGUUUUUGUCUAAUUGGUUGACACUCGGUAACAUCCCUAUAGUGAACAAUUCCCCCAGCUAUAAAUAAAGAGAAAUUUGAUCCUAUAACCAAAAAGACUAUAUUUAACCAACUAACCAUAUCACCUUUUCUCUCCUCCUUUCUUUUCCUAUCUCUCUCUACCCUCUUACUACAAAUCUAAUAUUUUUCCCAAUAUGGCCAUUCAUCAAAUUAACCCAUAAAUAAAUUGUUUCUCUUUUUUUUUAUGUGUUUUGUAUUCAUCUUUUGGCAAGGGGCUAGGAAAUUUCAACUAUGAUGAAGAAAGCAUGUCGGAAUUCAAGCGCUACGGUGUGGUACUAGUUGAUCCAUGGAUUUCAGUCGGACUAUGCGGCAAUCACUGACCAUAUUUUUGGAUUAGAUUUAUCUCGAUUAGUCUCCCAUGUAUUAUUGGUUAUAGCAAAAUUAUUUUAGAUUUGUGGUUUAAGAGACUAUUCUUUCUUUUGUAGAGUGAAUCUUGUCUCAUAAUAGUACAAAAGCUUUAUUUACAUUUGAUUAGGUAGAUAAAUUUCGAGUGUUUUUGGGUGAUAGUAUUUCAUUUCACUGAUUCUGAGAUUACAUUUUUUUGUUGAAAUUAAAAUCUUGUACUCGCUUAUUGGAUAAUGAGGUGUUGUUUUUGAGAAAGAGAAAAGAAAAGGAAGAAAACCAAGCUGACCAUAUAAUUGAUGAUGUUGAGCAUUGUAGGGUAGUCAGUAUACACCAAAGAAAAAACAAAAACUGGGCCAGUCUACCAAAUGGGCUGUUUGGUUUGUUGGGUGUGGUCUAAGGGCUUGUCUUACCUGUCCGUUCUAGCCAUUAUUGUAGUCUUCGGUCUUCAGUUCCUCAUAAACGGUUCCUAGUCCACUUCCAAGAGAUAAGUAUUUUGGCUAAACAAUCACUUUCUCGUCUUUCUUCACAUGUAAUGGCAUACACCAAAUAUGUACCAAUUAAUGGUUGCUUUCUAUCGCUCGUAUAAAUUUCGUAGAAAAAUCGCUGAACAUAUAUACAGAAUAGUAAAUAAGAACAUUUGAUGAUCUGUAAUCUGGUAUGCACAAAGGUAUAAUUAGCUUAGCUACAAAACUCUCGUUGAGACACAGGGCCUAAAGUCUAAACAUAUAAAGACUGCUUUGUUUUCACUUUUCACCUUUGGUUAUCUUUCCAUAUUCGGAAUCCGGUUUAAGAAUCAUUUAGGUUUGAUUGAUCGUCUAUGCAAAGUGAAUCUCCCAUCUGAAAGAUCUCUUUCUUCAUGGGAGACUCUGGUGAUCCUUUCAUGCGGUAAACAAAAACACCGUCGUUCAGGCACGCAGUAAAGCUUAGAACUAAUGUUCUUCAGCUUAAUCUGGUUCAUCUCUUAUCUUGGUUUCAAUGAUUCUUGAUAACUCUUUUGGUCUUAGCUUCGUUCCUUUCAUUUCUUGUUGCUGGCAUAUGGGUCAAAUUCUGGCUUAACAAACAAUCCGUUGUUGGACUUGGAAACUUGGUGUACAAUAGUACAAGCCACCGAUGAAGAAGAGGAAGUGUCUGCCUUAUACAGUAGGUAUGCUGGAGAUCGACAGUACGCUACACCUAAGCCAGAAUUUGAAACACAUGCACAUAAAAGGCGUAGUUCAGAACCUACGGCUGGAGAGGACUUCAGGAAAUGUAAAUUCCUUUCAUGCCCUCUAACGAUAUGAGGAUUACCAGGAUAAUUUAAGUUAUUUAAUAUUAAUGAAAACUAGUGUAUUCUCUUGGUGUUAUAAUGUACAAUACAUAAUGUUUAAAUACAACAAGUUUGAUUGUCAGUUU